GAUGAACGCUAGCGGCAGGCCUAACACAUGCAAGUCGAGGGAGAGGUUACCUUCGGGUCACCAAAACCGGCGCACGGGUGCGUAACGCGUAUACAAUCUGCCUUUCACAUAGGGAUAGCCCGAAGAAAUUUGGAUUAAUACCUAAUGGUAUAUAAGAGCGGCAUCGUUUUUAUCUUAAAGCUACGGUGGUGAAAGAUGAGUAUGCGUUCUAUUAGCUAGUUGGAGAGGUAACGGCUCCCCAAGGCGACGAUAGAUAGGGGUUCUGAGAGGGAUGUCCCCCACACUGGUACUGAGAUACGGACCAGACUCCUACGGGAGGCAGCAGUGAGGAAUAGUGGACAAUGGUCGGAAGACUGAUCCAGCCAUGCCGCGUGCAGGAUGAAGGUCCUAUGGAUUGUAAACUGCUUUUGUAAGGGAAGAAUAAGGAGUACGUGUACUUUGAUGACGGUACCUUACGAAUAAGCAGCGGCUAACUCCGUG
rnacentral:rRNA from 1 species